GACCAAAGAUAACCAGGGAGGAAGGGGGUGGGGGGGCCGCUUUGUUGUGAAACCUGAAUUUCAACUUAAGAGUCUUCUUCUUUUUACAGAACACCUUUUCUAAUUUAAAGUGAUGCAGGGAUCUAGAGAUUCACCAAUUCUGAAGAUUGGGCAGACACAUGGACUGCAGCUGCAGAGGACCUCACCAUCAGAACGAGGAAGUCUCCUUUGAAAACUGGACUGUGCCUGUGGAGUGCGAUGGGAAGCCAGCCGGCUUGCCGGGCAGACUCCUAAGACUGAGCGAUUAAUUUACUGCUAUCGCCAACAUAUGACAAGGUCUGAAGCAAAAACUGACUUGCAGGAAGAUGAAGACAGGAAGAAUGUUUUCAGAGGGUGUAACAAAUAGAAACGUAAUCUUUUAUGGAGGGUUUUUAUAAGUGUUUUGCAUUGAAGGAUGGCCAGGAUUAGAGAAUGAUGAGACUCCCCUCGAGUUGCUAGACAAGUCACUCUGAGUCCCAGGAAAACAGAUUGUCACAGGAUGAAUAAGACGGAGAGUGGAGAAGUCACUGCCCACACAGCCUUCACUACAUAGCAGCAGUGAUGCAGGAGGAUGAUGAGUGAAUGGAUGCUGCAGUGUCCCCAAAAUGUACAGAGAGUAUCUCUGCGAAGUCACACAGGACAGUGUGACCAUUGUCACAGUGCUCAGAACUGGUUUGCUGUACUUUUUCCAAACAGCUGUGCUUAAUCAAAGAACUUUUGGGACCAGUCACUUGCGCUG
rnacentral:lncRNA from 1 species